rnacentral:rRNA from 1 species
UGGGGAAUUUGGACAAUGGGCGAAAGCCUGAUCCAGCAAUGCCGCGUGUGUGAAGAAGGCCUUCGGGUUGUAAAGCACUUUUGUCCGGAAAGAAAUCCUUGGCUCUAAUACAGUCGGGGGAUGACGGUACCGGAAGAAUAAGCACCGGCUAACUACGUGCCAGCAGCCGCGGUAAUACGUAGGGUGCAAGCGUUAAUCGGAAUUACUGGGCGUAAAGCGUGCGCAGGCGGUUUGCUAAGACCGAUGUGAAAUCCCCGGGCUCAACCUGGGAACUGCAUUGGUGACUGGCAGGCUAGAGUAUGGCAGAGGGGGGUAGAAUUCCACGUGUAGCAGUGAAAUGCGUAGAGAUGUGGAGGAAUACCGAUGGCGAAGGCAGCCCCCUGGGCCAAUACUGACGCUCAUGCACGAAAGCGUGGGGAGCAAACAGGAUUAGAUACCCUGGUAGUCCACGCCCUAAAACGAUGUCAACUAGUUGUUGGGGAUUCAUUUCCUUAGUAACGUAGCUAACGCGUGAAGUUGACCGCCUGGGGAGUACGGUCGCAAGAUUAAAACUCAAAUGAAUUGAC